AUAUUUUUAUAAGGAUAUAACACUUCGAUUUUUGAUAGCAGAAGUAAUUGAUUUAUUUGCUCACCUGUUCUUUUGAUAUUUUCUUUAACAAAAUUAGCCGAAGUUUAUAUACCUUUCCUUGACUUUUAGUAUAUUAAUUAUUCGUAGAGAGGAAUCGAAGCAGCGAUUCUAAAAUCUUAUUCAAAAUGAGAGUUCUAAUUUUUGCUUUGGUGGCAUUUUUUGCAGUUUUGUUUGUAGUGAACGCAAAUGAUACAGCCACAGCGGAAUGCUCCAACGAAGAGGAGGAGUGCCGUAUAAAAGGAGGUUCUGUGGCGGAGUGCAAGAUUGGAUUUGAUAUCUGCAAAGAAGGUGCCAAUGAGGAAGAGGUUGGAGACAGAAGACGCCGAUAAAUUUAUUUUUUGUUGGUUUCUUACAAUUUAAUUAUGUAUAUAUUUAGUUUUUAAAACAAGUACAAUUUUGGAGUAGCAA